AAUGUACAUUCUAAAGCAAAUACUCCACAUUCUAAAGACAGCAACCAACAGUGGGGCCAGACAUCUUCCAAGGUCAUUUUGAGAGGUAGCAGAACUAGCACUACUGCCAUCAACCUCGUCCCCUCCUCUCCUAUCUAUUAGUAUAUAAAGAAAAGAACAAGGGAGCCACCUCGAUUUCAGGGGAGAUGAGAGAUUGUAUGGAGGCUGAAGGAAGACAUGACUAUUCCAUGGAAGGCACUAAGGAAAAGAGAGAGAAAGUUAUCACCCAAACUGGAUCACGGAGACAUACAUGUGAAAAGGUGCUUCAAGCAGAGGAUUUGCGUAUGGUCCUAAUCCCCCACUGCGUGUACGUGAAGCUAUCUGCCAGGAAUACAGUGAAAAGGAAAUGAGAACACAGUAGCCCCCUGUUGGAAACCCAGCUGUAAUUUCUAGCAUUCAGAUACAUCAUGGGGCACAUCACGACCUUGAACCAUAAACAUAUAUGCAGUAAAAGCCCAA
rnacentral:lncRNA from 1 species